AUAUCAGUAAGCGGAGGAAAAGAAACUAACAAGGAUUACCUCAGUAGCGGCGAGUGAAGAGGUAAAAGCUCAAGUUAAAAAUCUGUGGCAUAAAGUUACAGAAUUGUAAUCUAAAGUAGUGAUCCGAAGGGAAGGUGUCGCAUAAGUUCCUUGGAACAGGACGCUAAAAAGGGUGAAAGCCCCGUAUUAGGCGAUGCUUAACCGUAGGAUAACUAUCAUAGAGUCGGGUUGUUUGGGACUGCAGCCCUAAAUGGGAGAUAAAUUUCUUCUAAAGCUAAAUAUUGGCCAGAGACCGAUAGCGCACAAGUA
rnacentral:rRNA from 1 species